UAUGCACCUAAUUCUGGAAAAUCAGGGCUGUUCUUAAAUAAUUGAAAUGAUGUGGGGUCGGUGAAUCCUUAAAAAUUCCCCUUUAAGCAUCAAAAACCACCUCAGAGAUUGCGGCAGAAAAAAGCUGGGUAAGUGACUAAAAUUAUUGAACUUACCUAAAUAUAUGCAAAGGAAUAGAGUAUAACGUUUUGUUUUGGCUUGGUAUUGCUU